GUCUUGGUGUUUAAAGGAUAGUGGAACCACAUUGAUCCAUUUCGAACUCAAUGGUGAAACGCUAUAACAGUUACAAUACUUAAGGAGUAGUCCUUUGGGAAGAUAGCUUAUGCCAGGACUUU
rnacentral:rRNA from 1 species